CUGCCUUAAACUAAUGAGUAAGGAAAACAAAGCGCUGCGGUGAGAGCCGCUCGCGGUGCGGGGUCAAAACCUGCACGGCAAUUUUUGUAGGGGAAAGAGGCUGGAGCGGGCACUGACACUGCGGUCGUGUUACGGAAAAUUUCU